rnacentral:lncRNA from 10 species
GAAGACAGAAAGAAGCUCAACUCCCUCCCCCGACUUACUUUCACCUUCUUUCUUCUGCAGGCCUAGGGUGAGGGGUGGGUGGGUAUGGGAGAAGCUUUGGCUGAGAAGUUGAAGUUUUGAUUUGAAUUUGGACUAGUCUCCCAAAUGUCUGAACAUGAGAUUGUUAUAAUACCUGAAAGGAACCAGGAGAGCUACGGGAUUUGCCUGGGAUAUCAUCAAGGGUGAUGUCAUCAAGAAAUCCAAUAUGCUAUGAUUGAAGAUAGUGGUGGAGAAAAAUAAAGCGAUUUCCUGAUGGCACCCUUCCA